AAGUCGCAGACUGGGAAAUCUCUGCAGGCAAAUGUGAUGUCUUUAUAACAAUCUCACAAUUAGCUGUAGAGAUUCUACAAUCUGGCAUC
rnacentral:pre_miRNA from 1 species